UACGUAGGGGGCUAGCGUUGUCCGGAAUCAUUGGGCGUAAAGCGCGUGUAGGCGGCCCGGUAAGUCCGCUGUGAAAGUCGGGGGCUCAACCCUCGGAUGCCGGUGGAUACUGUCGGGCUAGAGUGCGGAAGAGGCGAGUGGAAUUCCCGGUGUAGCGGGUGAAAUGCGCAGAUAUCAGGAGGAACACCAAUUGCGAAGGCAGCUCGCUGGGACGUGACUGACGCUGAGACGCGAAAGCGUGGGGAGCAAACAGG
rnacentral:rRNA from 1 species